rnacentral:tRNA from 1 species
CCCUGUAGCUCAGUUGGUAGAGCGUGGUGUUUGCCACGCCAGGGUUGUGGGUUCGAUUCCCACGAGGG